GAGUUUGAUCCUGGCUCAGAUUGAACGCUGGCGGCAUGCCUUACACAUGCAAGUCGAACGGCAGCACGGGAGCUUGCUCCUGGUGGCGAGUGGCGAACGGGUGAGUAAUGCAUCGGAACGUAUCCUGGAGUGGGGGAUAACGUAGCGAAAGUUACGCUAAUACCGCAUAUUCUGUGAGCAGGAAAGCGGGGGGACCUUCGGGGCCUCGCGCUCUUGGAGCGGCCGAUGUCGGAUUAGCUAGUUGGUGAGGUAAGGCUCACCAAGGCGACGAUCCGUAGCAGGUCUGAGAGGAUGAUCUGCCACACUGGAACUGAGACACGGUCCAGACUCCUACGGGAGGCAGCAGUGGGGAAUUUUGGACAAUGGGGGCAACCCUGAUCCAGCCAUGCCGCGUGAGUGAGAAGG
rnacentral:rRNA from 1 species